rnacentral:rRNA from 1 species
AAAUUGAAGAGUUUGAUCAUGGCUCAGAUUGAACGCUGGCGGCAGGCCUAACACAUGCAAGUCGAACGGUAACAGGAAACAGCUUGCUGUUUCGCUGACGAGUGGCGGACGGGUGAGUAAUGUCUGGGAAACUGCCUGAUGGAGGGGGAUAACUACUGGAAACGGUAGCUAAUACCGCAUAACGUCGCAAGACCAAAGAGGGGGACCUUCGGGCCUCUUGCCAUCGGAUGUGCCCAGAUGGGAUUAGCUGGUAGGUGGGGUAACGGCUCACCUAGGCGACGAUCCCUAGCUGGUCUGAGAGGAUGACCAGCCACACUGGAACUGAGACACGGUCCAGACUCCUACGGGAGGCAGCAGUGGGGAAUAUUGCACAAUGGGCGCAAGCCUGAUGCAGCCAUGCCGCGUGUAUGAAGAAGGCCUUCGGGUUGUAAAGUACUUUCAGCGGGGAGGAAGGGAGUAAAGUUAAUACCUUUGCUCAUUGACGUUACCCGCAGAAGAAGCACCGGCUAACUCCGUGCCAGCAGCCGCGGUAAUACGGAGGGUGCAAGCGUUAAUCGGAAUUACUGGGCGUAAAGCGCACGCAGGCGGUUUGUUAAGUCAGAUGUGAAAUCCCCGGGCUCAACCUGGGAACUGCAUCUGAUACUGGCAAGCUUGAGUCUCGUAGAGGGGGGUAGAAUUCCAGGUGUAGCGGUGAAAUGCGUAGAGAUCUGGAGGAAUACCGGUGGCGAAGGCGGCCCCCUGGACGAAGACUGACGCUCAGGUGCGAAAGCGUGGGGAGCAAACAGGAUUAGAUACCCUGGUAGUCCACGCCGUAAACGAUGUCGACUUGGAGGUUGUGCCCUUGAGGCGUGGCUUCCGGAGCUAACGCGUUAAGUCGACCGCCUGGGGAGUACGGCCGCAAGGUUAAAACUCAAAUGAAUUGACGGGGGCCCGCACAAGCGGUGGAGCAUGUGGUUUAAUUCGAUGCAACGCGAAGAACCUUACCUGGUCUUGACAUCCACGGAAGUUUUCAGAGAUGAGAAUGUGCCUUCGGGAACCGUGAGACAGGUGCUGCAUGGCUGUCGUCAGCUCGUGUUGUGAAAUGUUGGGUUAAGUCCCGCAACGAGCGCAACCCUUAUCCUUUGUUGCCAGCGGUCCGGCCGGGAACUCAAAGGAGACUGCCAGUGAUAAACUGGAGGAAGGUGGGGAUGACGUCAAGUCAUCAUGGCCCUUACGACCAGGGCUACACACGUGCUACAAUGGCGCAUACAAAGAGAAGCGACCUCGCGAGAGCAAGCGGACCUCAUAAAGUGCGUCGUAGUCCGGAUUGGAGUCUGCAACUCGACUCCAUGAAGUCGGAAUCGCUAGUAAUCGUGGAUCAGAAUGCCACGGUGAAUACGUUCCCGGGCCUUGUACACACCGCCCGUCACACCAUGGGAGUGGGUUGCAAAAGAAGUAGGUAGCUUAACCUUCGGGAGGGCGCUUACCACUUUGUGAUUCAUGACUGGGGUGAAGUCGUAACAAGGUAACCGUAGGGGAACCUGCGGUUGGAUCACCUCCUUACCUUAAAGAAGC